rnacentral:tRNA from 1 species
AGGGACUUAGGCUAAUAAGACCAAGGGCCUUCAAAGCCCUAAGCGGGAGUUAAAAUCUCCCAGACCCUG